UACGUAGGGUGCAAGCGUUAAUCGGAAUUACUGGGCGUAAAGCGAGCGCAGGCGGUCGUGUAAGACAGAUGUGAAAUCCCCGGGCUCAACCUGGGAACUGCAUUUGUGACUGCACGGCUAGAGUGCGUCAGAGGGGGGUGGAACUCCACGUGUAGCAGUGAAAUGCGUAGAGAUGUGGAAGAACACCGAUGGCGAAGGCAGCCCCCUGGGAUGACACUGACGCUCAUGCUCGAAAGCGUGGGGAGCAAACAGG
rnacentral:rRNA from 1 species